UUUAUAAGCGCAGUUUUCUGCUUAAUUUUGAAACCUUUAUUGCGUCUGAGUCUGAGAUAAUGUGUUAUCCUACUAACUUUCUUGGUGGGCUUUUUGCUUCAUGUUUGAGACGUUUAGGAUCCAAAUUCAAGUUCUUUUUGUAGCCGUUUUCCAUGGAAGAAAGGUCUCGUUUGCCCAAAAACGGGAAAGGUUUGUUAACAAUUAAAUCAGAUCCGAAUUUCACAGUCUUGUAAAGUCAUCCACUAUUUCACUCUUAAUACUCCUUUUAUUUUAGCUAAAGUGUUUCUGCUUCACAAAAUAUAAAAUGUUUUGGUAUUUUCGAUAGAAUGAUUUAUUAGUUGGUUAAACAAGUCUAAGUGUCAAACUUAGG
rnacentral:lncRNA from 1 species